GACGAACGCUGGCGGCGUGCUUAACACAUGCAAGUCGAACGGAAAGGCCCUGCUUUUGUGGGGUGCUCGAGUGGCGAACGGGUGAGUAACACGUGAGUAACCUGCCCUUGACUUUGGGAUAACUUCAGGAAACUGGGGCUAAUACCGGAUAGGAGCUCCUGCUGCAUGGUGGGGGUUGGAAAGUUUCGGCGGUUGGGGAUGGACUCGCGGCUUAUCAGCUUGUUGGUGGGGUAGUGGCUUACCAAGGCUUUGACGGGUAGCCGGCCUGAGAGGGUGACCGGCCAAAUGGGGAAAGAGAAACGGCCCAGACCCCUAGGGGGGGCAGGAGGGGGGAAUUUUGCAAAAGGGGCGGAAGCCUGAUGCCGCAACGCCGCGGGGGGGAAGACGGCCUUCGGGUUGUAAACCGCUUUCGCCGGUGACGAAGCGGGGGUGACGGUAAUGGGGAAAGAAGCACCGGCUAACUACGG
rnacentral:rRNA from 1 species